GGCCGCGUGGUGUAAUGGUUGCACACUCUCACAAACAUCACUCAUUAUUCUUACUACUUCUCUUCCUGUUGAGAGAGGGGCGGGUUCGAUUCCUGCCGCGGCCA